GCCAGGCAGCACCUCAUGCAUUGCUCAUCUUGUUGUUCUGUUUGCAGAGGAGAAAUCCCCGGAUCGCUCCCAUCAGCCCCAUCCAGCAGCAGCCACCACCGGCAACGGGGACAGGGGAGCAGCAGGGACAGCGAGGACACAGCCCCACAGCGGCACCCUCAGAAUCCAGGGGAAGAUGUACCCUGCCAGGACCUGGUGCUGUGCAUUUGCAGCCACAAAUCUGGGCAUGGCUCCGGGGGAUGGGAUGGUGCAGCUGCACCCCAGUGUGACUCAGUCAUGGGACAGUAACCACACCCCACCACGGAUGCUCCAGAGCCUCCUGGAUGCGGAACAGGGCUUUGCUGACUGCAUCCCACAGACACGGUGCUGGACCCCCCUCGGGUGACCCAUGGGGACAAGGACACAGCUGAGGACACGCCACUGUGCUCCCCGGGGACAGCCUGUUUGCAGCACACCACCGCAAGGCACAGCUCUGGGUGAUGUGAGAGGACGCUGUGUGGUCUGGAUGGCCAAGAAGGGCUGGAGGAGAGCCCAAGGAUGGGCUGAAAUGUGGGCAGGGACCGGGCAGGUCCCCUCCCUGUCCCUGUGGUAAGGGCUCACUCCAUCCCAUGGCUGGAUCCAGGAAGGUCCCGGGGCACAGAAGCCGCUGCCACUUGAGCCAGAGGCACCGGGGGACAAGGUCUGCAGCAAAAGGAGGUGAAAAAGAAAACCAACAAGUCUAUUAAAGGUGUU